UACGUAGGGUGCAAGCGUUGUCCGGAAUUAUUGGGCGUAAAGAGCUCGUAGGCGGUUUGUCGCGUCGGCCGUGAAAUCUCCACGCUUAACGUGGAGCGUGCGGUCGAUACGGGCAGACUUGAGUUCGGUAGGGGAGACUGGAAUUCCUGGUGUAGCGGUGGAAUGCGCAGAUAUCAGGAGGAACACCGAUGGCGAAGGCAGAUCUCCUGGGCCGUAACUGACGCUGAGGAGCGAAAGCAUGGGGAGCGAACAGG
rnacentral:rRNA from 1 species